CCUACGGGCGGCUGCAGUCGAGAAUCUUCCGCAAUGGGCGCAAGCCUGACGGAGCGACGCCGCGUGGAGGACGAAGGCCUUCGGGUUGUAAACUCCUGUCACGAGUUAAGAAGGUGCUAUCACGAACAGUGGUAGUAUUUGACGUAAGCUCGAGAGGAAGCACUGGCUAACUCUGUGCCAGCAGCCGCGGUAAUACAGAGAGUGCAAACGUUGUUCGGAAUUACUGGGCUUGAAGCGCACGUAGGCGGCAUCGUAAGUGUCGGGUGAAAUCCCAC
rnacentral:rRNA from 1 species